UACGUAGGGGUGCGAGCGUUGCCCGGAUUUAUUGGGCGUAAAGGGCGCGUAGGCGGCUCGACACGUUCGUUGUGAAAUCGCCCGGCUCAACUGGGCGGGGUCAGCGAAUACGGUCGAGCUUGAGCAAGCUAGGGGGCAAUGGAAUUCCCGGUGUAGUGGUGGAAUGCGUAGAUAUCGGGAGGAACACCAGUGGCGAAGGCGGUUGCCUGGGGCUUUGCUGACGCUGAUGCGCGAAAGCGUGGGGAGCGAGUCCGG
rnacentral:rRNA from 1 species